CAUAGCGACUAUCGUGGCAUAUCAAUAAGCGGAGGAAAAGAAACUAACAAGGAUUCCCUUAGUAACGGCGAGUGAAGCGGGAAGAGCUCAAAUUUGAAAUCUUCAAGGUUCUACCUUGACGAAUUGUAGUUUAUAGAAGUGUUUUCUGUUAGUAGAGUGGCAAAAGUUCUUUGGAAUAGGACAUCAUAGAGGGUGAGAAUCCCGUAUUUGGUCAUUCUUUCUAGCUUUGUGAUACACUUUCAACGAGUCGGAUUAUUUGGGAAUGCAGUCCAAAAUGGGUGGUAAAUUUCAUCUAAAGCUAAAUAUUGGCGAGAGACCGAUAGCGAACAAGUACCGUGAGGGAAAGAUGAAAAGAACUUUGAAAAGAGAGUUAAACAGUACGUGAAAUUGUCAAAAGGGAAGCGUUUGACACCAGUGUUGUUUUUCUCGAAAAUCAAUUACGAAUGUUUUAUUUUUAAGAAGUUAUGACUUCAUCGGCUUGCUUCUCUCUUUAUGAAACUUUCUUAAUGCACUUUUCGGUUAACAAGUCAACAUCAAUUUCUUUUGUUGUAAAAGGGUCAUGAGGAAGGUGGCUUUCUUUUCGGAGAAAGUGUUUAUAGCCUUGUGCUCUCUGCAAUCGGAGAGACUUGAGGUCUGCAGCGUAGAUCCUUCGGGGUUAGAUACAUUUGUGCUAAGUUAUAGCUUUUCAUAGACAACUUGUUGAUUAUGUUAAGUCAUUGUAGCUUACUCGCUUGCUGCUAUUUUACCUACGCUUAGGAUGUUGAUAUGCAUGACUGAUAU
rnacentral:rRNA from 1 species